rnacentral:lncRNA from 1 species
AGAGAAGAGAAACCAAGGAAGAACAAACCCUAGGCGGGAAAAAUCAAAGAGAAAGUGUUGGAAUUCAAGGAUUUGAUCAAGUAAAGGUAAAAUUUCUUUGAUUUUGCUAGUGAUUUACCUUACCCAUGCAUUUUUCCUUAAUUUCCAUGGUUGAAAAGCAUGCUUUCAUGGUGAAUUCAUGGCUGGUCAAAAUGGGUAUGGAGAGAGAAUGAUCUUGGAUUGGUUUGAUUUUUUAGGUAUGUUAGUGUUUUUAGGUGAUUAAUGAUGUGUAGCAUGAAAACAAGUGAAGAAAACCACCAAAGGUUUAGUGCCCAUCAAUAGCCGAAUUCUCUAAGUGAAUAAUAAGGAAGAAUGGGAUGAUAUUCUAGGUGAUUUGAUUAAGAAAUAAUAGUCUUUGGUGAAUUGAGGGAUUGGAAAAGAAAUGGAGCAAGUUGGAGUGAAAUUGGACGCAUUGGCCAAUUUAUCGGAUGAAAAUCGACUUAGGCCAAUACUGGGUCUAGAUGGCUACCCGUGCAUUUUUCAUUUCAUAUCACGCAUAUAUAUCGAGCUUGAAAUAGAUUAUGACUGUUAGACACAAUUUAAUUGGAAUAUGUAUCAUGGAUUAUGGCUAGGUGGUGAGCCAUUGGAAACGGGUAAAGGACUGUACCCGCGGACUAAAAAUAGGAGUAUUUCUACUCCUAAUACUAUGAGUACACUUAUUAUCGUCUUAAUUAUCUAGAGUAGUUUUAUACAAUUGUGUGAUUUUAUAAAAAAUGGGUUUAAAUGGUAAAUUGCUAUGUUUUAGGAGAAAUUGUGAUUUUAUAAAAUGAUUUUAUAAAUUUUUUGAAAAAUUGAAUAUUGGUUUUGAAAAUCGACUAAUUGGAGACUACUUGUUUGUGUUAUAAAUUGUGUUUUAAAUUAUAUGGCUUAUAGCAAUAUGUGAGCAUGAAUGGCAAAGUCGGUAUUUGUAUCAAAAUUAUAUAUACUAUGUAUUCAGCCUUGAGAGGCUAGAUUGCGAUAAAUUAUCAUGUCAUGCAGAUAAAGAUUUUAUAAAUUAGGUGGUAGAUAAAAUAAUCCAUAAUCCCUGCAGUGGAGGUUUUGUGGACCAGCCUAAAAGAGGGGGCAUAGAAUCAGAUAUACCUUACCUCGAUUGGAGAGCCGUGUGGAGGGUUUCUCUAGAGGUAAGGAUUUGAGUGCAUUUCACGUGGACCACCGCGUGAGAGUGAGACUCAACCAAAGCCAAGGCAUGGCUAGAAUUUCGGAUGUAAAGAAAUUUAACAACCUUGGUGGUCUCAGUCAGAUGCCUAGGCCAAGGCAUCCCCGAGAAUGAUUUUUGGCAGGAGCCAAGUUUUGUGAGAUAUAUAAGCUACGUUGAUUAAUUGAGUAAACUGAAUAUUCAUGUUAUGAAACAUAUAUUGAAAAAGAAUAUUUUAAUUCGUCUUCAUUUACUCGACUUUAGAUAGUUUAGAUGGUAUCUGUUUACUCACUGGGAUUAUGUAAUCUCACCCCUCUUCCUAUCCAUUUUUCAAGCUCAGGACAAUUUGUUGAUAGUUGAUUAAGAUGAGAAUUAAUCUCGGAGUUGCAUCCUAGAAAGUAAGGGUUUGUAGCCCUACACCUUUUUGGUCAGUUGGGGGUCCACGUGUCACUGUAAAAGUAAUUUUAUACUUCAAUUAUCUGAUUUAAAGUAUGUAUGAACAUAUUUAGCUUUUACACCAUGUUUUUGGCGGGUUUCGGUAUUUUUGAAGAAAAAUGACGAAAAUACCCUAUGAGCCAGAAAAUAAUAUUUUAUUAUUUUGAUUUGGAAACAACUUAUGAUUUCUUGAAAUGCGAGAUUUAAUAACUGUCGCUCACCAGGGAGAUGCGAAAGCUGAUGCUAAGCCUUGCGGGAUUUCGAUCGGCAUUCGAGGUAAUGAGUAUCUAUCGGGACGUCGCGACGGUUGUCACGAGGCCAAUGGGAGUUUCGGGUCGUGACACAUGCAAACAGUUGUUUUUCAUUUAAUUUCUCAUUAAGGUUUAUGACUUUCAUAAACAUUUGGCUUAUGCCAUCAAAUAGUACUCGAU